UUUUUUUUUUUUUAUACUAUUACAGGAGGAUCUGUUUGCCCGCCUGAUACAACUAGGAAGAGAUCAUGGUCUGCCUGGAUACAAUACCUUCAGGCAGUUUUGCGGACUUCAACCUAAAGCAAUAGGGGAUGCCCCCUUGGAUAAUCCUGUGUUUGAGGCCUAUGUGAACAGCGAUCUUGUUGAAUUGUAUCCUGCUU